CGGAACCGUUGCGUAUUAUCUCGUCGGUACCGUUGCCCGCUUUUGAUUUACCAGACAGCGACCGACGUGCCGUACGACAAUACGUAUAUUAAAAAUUCCGCAAAUAGACGACGUUUUUGUCGGAACGCAUUUCGGCGCCGAAAUGUUUAAUUACGCGGCGCGUGGCGCAUGAAUAAUUUUCCGAAAUGUAUAUUAUUAUCCGCGCUGUUGACUCACUCCGUAUAUUCG